ensembl:lncRNA
ACACACGGAUGGCAUGUAAUACAUUAUUUUAAGUAUACUAAAAAAGAAUGUAUUAGAUCUAUCUAUGUGUUGAGACAGUGAGACUUGGUCUGUUUACAAAACAAAUCUUUGACAUUAUGUAAAUAUUUGAAUGUGUGUUUUAUAAAAAAAAUAUAUAUAUAAUAAUAUUGUAUAAAUUAAUUAAUUGUAAUUAGGUAAUAUUGUGUGCAGAAAUGAAGUAAAGUUUACUAAAAGAAAGGAUUGACUGAAGUUCAGUUCACUUAUUUACUCUAUGUAACAUUUAAGUCUGGAAACCGAGUUGAAGUUACUUAAAUUUUAUUUAUCUGAAAUUAAAUUUACUUAAAAAAAGCAAAUGCAGAAAGUUGCCUUAAGUUAAACUUUUUUAAAGUAAAUUUUACGCAUCGUUUUUUUUUCAGUGCACGACUGUCUUCUCAUCUCAGUCUAACAUGUGAUUCUCUUUGCUGGUCAGGUAAGAGGGACAUUGAGGCGGUGGCGAGUGGACACAACGCGGUAGAGGUGUCAAUUCACAACAGGCUUCAGACGUACCAGCUCAGCGCGGCGGCAGCAGCGGCAGCAGCAGCGGCGGUGCAACCGCGGAGCCCAGAGAGCGUGGCCCUUCUUAACCACCGGGGGGAGCUCUACCAGCAGCCCCAGCCGCCACAGCCCCAGCAUCAGCCGCCGCUGCAGUGCGUCAGCCCCACGCCCUCGCACUCCCACCAGCCCGUGGCCGCCCUGAGCGACCUGCGGCCCGACACGCUCAUCCAGUGCCAGCAGAUCGUCAAGGUCAUCGUCCUGGACAAGGGCGGCCACGGGCGCGUGGAGGCCUUCCUCAGCCAGAGCCCAGCGCACCACCACCAACACCACCACCACCACCACCAUCACCAGCAGAUCAUCCAGUCCGUCGUCUCCACGCCCGUGCGCUCGCCGGACGGGGGCGGUUCCCAGCGGGAAAAGGACGGUUCCCAGCCCCCGCUGCCACCACCCCCGCCACCCUACAACCAUCCGCAUCAGUACAUCCCCCCGGACCCUCGCUUAUCCCUACAGAGGACCCCCAGCGGCUCUCGAAGUAUAGUGUAGAGCCCAAGAAAAGACCCUAAAUAUCUAAAUUAUAUACAUAUGUAUUAAGUUAUAUGAAAGAAAUGACCUUCACACCUUACGUAUAUAUGUAUAUAUAUAUCUCUAUAUAUAUAUACGCUUACCUUUGACGUCACCUGCUGUGUGUAUAUAUAUAUAUGUAAAGACUGUAAAGAGAUUUAAUGAGAAAAGAUAUGAGAAAAAAAUACAUAUCUAUAGGCAUAUAUAUUUAAGCUACAUGAAUUAAAUGAAACAAAAAAAUAGGAUUGAAAGUGAAAAAAGAAAAAUAUGUACUUUAUUAUUAUUAAUAUGUACCUUUUCAGAAAUAUGCGAAAUAAGAACAGAAGAAAUGAAAAGAUCUACUUGAUUUACUCCUGUGUAUUUUGAACAAGAAAAAGAACAAAAAAAAAAACAUACGUAGUUUUAACAAAUUUAACGAAUUCUUUUUGAAACAGAGCUCCGACAGGUUGUCCCGCUCAGAAUUUCUCUGGUAUUUUUAGAGCUAGCCUAGAAAAUGAACUUUACGACCCAACAACACGACCUGAGUCCGGCGGCAGCCUGUCCACGAGCCACUUCUGACUUCUGAUUGACUGAUAUCUUAGUCUUUUAUUACCUUACUGUAAUACCUGUUUGUACCUGUGUGUACGUACGUAUGUGCGAGCAUUGGACUGGCGGAUGAUGUACUGUACGUGCCAAAAUGAGAACAACCCUUCCCCCUUUACACCCCACGAUGAAACCGUUGCACUCUAAGAAAGCUUAGGGCUAGAUUGGACUUUUGCUUAUGUGCUUAUGAUACUGUACCUUUUUUGGCUUCCCUCAAGGACUGUGAUGAUAAAGAGCGAAACAAUUGAAUCGCAAAUUUGAGAAAUCUGAACAAAAAUAUGAAACCUGCAAUAUUGCUUUGUAAAACUUUUGUUGAAACCUUUUGCCUCUAUAUAUAUGAUCAACUCUGUACUUUUUCGGAAUCCAAACCUACUAAACAACUAGACAUCCAUUGGUUUCU